rnacentral:rRNA from 1 species
GACGAACCGAGCGAACGUUGUUCGGAAUCACUGGGCUUAAAGGGCGCGUAGGCGGGCCCGCCAGUCUGUGGUGAAAUCCUCCGGCUCAACCGGAGAACUGCCUCGGAUACUGCGGGUCUCGAGGGUGAUAGGGGUAUGCGGAACUAUCGGUGGAGCGGUGAAAUGCGUAGAUAUCUGGAGGAAUACCGGUGGCGAAGGCGGCAUCCUGGACCAUUACUGACGCUGAGGCGCGAAAGCUAGGGGAGCAAACGGG